rnacentral:rRNA from 1 species
UACGUAGGGGGCUAGCGUUGUCCGGAAUCAUUGGGCGUAAAGAGCGUGUAGGCGGCCCGGUAAGUCCGCUGUAAAAGUCAAAGGCUCAACCUUUGAAUGUCAGUGGAUACUGCCGGGCUAGAGUCCGGAAGAGGCGAGUGGAACUCCUGGUGUAGCGGUGAAAUGCGCAGAUAUCAGGAGGAACACCCAUUGCGAAGGCAGCUCGCUGGGACGUUACUGACGCUGAGACGCGAAAGCGUGGGGAGCAAACAGG